CGAAGGGUGCAAGCGUUACUCGGAAUUACUGGGCGUAAAGCGUGCGUAGGCGGUUUGUUAAGUCUGAUGUGAAAGCCCCGGGCUCAACCUGGGAAUGGCAUUGGAUACUGGCAGGCUAGAAUGUGGUAGAGGGUGGUGGAAUUCCCGGUGUAGCGGUGAAAUGCGUAGAGAUCGGGAGGAACAUCCGUGGCGAAGGCGGCCACCUGGACCAACAUUGACGCUGAGGCACGAAAGCGUGGGGAGCAAACAGGAUU
rnacentral:rRNA from 1 species